rnacentral:tRNA from 1 species
AAAGGAUUAGUUAAAUUAUAACGUCAGCUUGUCAAGUUGAAGUAACCCUAAGGGUAUCCUUUU